AGGAUAAACGCUGGCGGCGUGCAUGAGACAUGCAAGUCGAACGGACGAUCAGGGCUUGCUCUGAUCGUUAGUGGCGGACGGCUGAGUAACGCGUAGGUGACCUGCCCCGAAGUGGGGAAUAACUGCCCGAAAGGGUGGCUAAUACCGCAUGUGGUGGUGUGUUCAUUCACACCAGUAAAGCCGCAAGGCGCUUCGGGAGGGGCCUGCGUCCGAUUAGCUCGUUGGUGGGGUAACGGCUCACCAAGGCGACGAUCGGUAGGUGGUCUGAGAGGACGAUCACCCAGACUGGGACUGAGACACGGCCCGGACUCCUACGGGAGGCAGCAGUCGGGAAUUUUGCGCAAUGGACGAAAGUCUGACGCAGCAACGCCGCGUGAGGGAUGAAGGCCUUCGGGUUGUAAACCUCUUUUAUCAGGGAAGAUAAUGACGGUACCUGAUGAAUAAGUCACGGCUAACUACGUGCCAGCAGCCGC
rnacentral:rRNA from 1 species